rnacentral:rRNA from 1 species
UACGUAGGAGACGAGCGUUGUCCGGAGUUACUGGGCGUAAAGGGUGCGCAGGUGGCGGCGCGCGUGGGGGGUGAAAUCGCCCGGCUUAACUGGGCGGGGGCCUUCCAGACGGCGUGGCUUGAGCAGCGGAGGGGGGACGUGGAAUUCCGGGUGGAGCGGUGAAAUGCGUAGAGAUCCGGAGGAACACCGAUGGCGAAGGCAGGUCUCUGGGCCACUACUGACGCUGAGAAGCGAAAGCAUGGGGAGCGAACAGG